rnacentral:rRNA from 1 species
UGGGGAAUUUUGGACAAUGGGCGAAAGCCUGAUCCAGCAAUGCCGCGUGUGUGAAGAAGGCCUUCGGGUUGUAAAGCACUUUUGUCCGGAAAGAAAUCCUUGGCUCUAAUACAGUCGGGGGAUGACGGUACCGGAAGAAUAAGCACCGGCUAACUACGUGCCAGCAGCCGCGGUAAUACGUAGGGUGCAAGCGUUAAUCGGAAUUACUGGGCGUAAAGCGUGCGCAGGCGGUUUGCUAAGACCGAUGUGAAAUCCCCGGGCUCAACCUGGGAACUGCAUUGGUGACUGGCAGGCUAGAGUAUGGCAGAGGGGGGUAGAAUUCCACGUGUAGCAGUGAAAUGCGUAGAGAUGUGGAGGAAUACCGAUGGCGAAGGCAGCCCCCUGGGCCAAUACUGACGCUCAUGCACGAAAGCGUGGGGAGCAAACAGGAUUAGAUACCCUGGUAGUCCACGCCCUAAGCGAUGUCAACUAGUUGUUGGGGGAUUCAUUUCCUUAGUAACGUAGCUAACGCGUGAAGUUGACCGCCUGGGGGAGUACGGUCGCAAGAUUAAAACUCAAA